UAGCCAUUGAGCUGCGCAAUCAUCCGGUAG
rnacentral:sRNA from 1 species